rnacentral:piRNA from 1 species
UAUGGAUUUGUGAUAGUGGAAUAAGAG